AUUGAACGCUGGCGGAAUGCUUUACACAUGCAAGUCGAACGGCAGCACGGACUUCGGUCUGGUGGCGAGUGGCGAACGGGUGAGUAAUGUAACGGAACGUGCCCAGUCGUGGGGGAUAACGUAGUGAAAAUUACGCUAAUACCGCAUACGCUGUAUGGAUGAAAGACGGGGAUUGCAAGACCUAGCGCGAUUGGAGCGGCCGAUAUCAGGUUAGGUAGUUGGUGGGGUAAGGGUCCGCCAAGCCAACGAUCUGUAGCUGGUCUGGAAGGACGACGAGCCACACUGGAACUGAGACACGGUCCAGACUCCUACGGGAGGCAGCAGUGGGGAAUUUUGGACAAUGGGCGAAAGCCUGAUCCAGCCAUUCCGCGUGCAGGAUGAAGGCCCUCGGGUUGUAAACUGCUUUUGUACAGAACGAAAAGGUUUCUACUAAUACUAGGAGCUCAUGACGGUACUGUAAGAAUAAGCACCGGCUAACUACGUGCCAGCCGCCGCGGUAA
rnacentral:rRNA from 1 species